GAUGAACGCUGGCGGCGUGCCUAAUACAUGCAAGUCGAACGCGAGAGGAGGGAGCUUGCUCCCUCUGAUCGAGUGGCGGACGGGUGAGUAACACGUAGGCAACCUGCCCAUCAGUCCGGGAUAACCGCGGGAAACCGUGGCUAAUACCGGAUGAUCCUCUCCACCGCGGGGUGGGGAGUUGAAAGACGGCUUCGGCUGUCGCUGAUGGAUGGGCCUGCGGCGCAUUAGCUGGUUGGCGGGGUAACGGCCCACCAAGGCAACGAUGCGUAGCCGACCUGGGUGGGUGAUCGGCCACACUGGGAAGGAGACACGGCCCAGAUUCCUACGGGAGGCAGCAGUGGGGAAUCUUCCGCAAUGGACUCAAGUCUGACGGAGCAACGCCGCGUGAGUGAAGAAGGGUUUCGGCUCGUAAAACUCUGUUGUUAAGGAAGAACGACAGGUAGAGUAACUGCUACCUGUGUGACGGUACUUAACCAGAAAGCCACGGCUAACUACGUGCCAGCAGCCGCCGUAA
rnacentral:rRNA from 1 species